UACGUAGGGGGCAAGCGUUGUCCGGAAUCACUGGGCGUAAAGGGCGCGUAGGCGGCGUUUUUAAGUCGGGGGUGAAAGCCUGUGGCUCAACCACAGAAUGGCCUCGAUACUGGGACGCUUGAGUAUGGUAGAGGUUGGUGGAACUGCGAGUGUAGAGGUGAAAUUCGUAGAUAUUCGCAAGAACACCGGUGGCGAAGGCGGCCAACUGGACCAUUACUGACGCUGAGGCGCGAAAGCGUGGGGAGCAAACAGGG
rnacentral:rRNA from 1 species